UUUAAAUGUAAAUAAAAAUAUCAAAUUAGUAUUAGUUAAGUUCUUUAAAUUUAAAAAUUUUGGCGGUAUUUUAGUCUAUUCAGAGGAACCUGUUCUAUAAUUGAUAAUCCACGAUUAACUAUACUUGUUUUUUUAAUUUGUAUAUCGUUGUUUAUAAAUAAUUUUAUAAGAAUAUAAAUUUUUAGAAUUUUUAAUUAAAAAAUAUAUCAGAUCAAGGUGCAGUUUAUAAAUAAGAAGAAAUGGGUUACAAUAAAUUUAUUUAAAUGGAUUAAUUUUUAAAAUAAAAUUAUGAAGGUGGAUUUGAUAGUAAUUAAAUUAAUUUAAAUUUAAUGAUUUUAGCUCUAAAAUAUGU
rnacentral:rRNA from 1 species